UCCCUGGUGGUCCAGUGGUUAGGACUCAGAUUUUUCACUGCUGUGGCCUGGAUUUAAUCCCUAGUUGGGGAA
rfam:TPA: Bos taurus chromosome 1, whole genome shotgun sequence.